UACGUAGGUGGCAAGCGUUAUCCGGAUUUAUUGGGCGUAAAGGGAACGCAGGCGGUCUUUUAAGUCUGAUGUGAAAGCCUUCGGCUUAACCGGAGUAGUGCAUUGGAAACUGGGAGACUUGAGUGCAGAAGAGGAGAGUGGAACUCCAUGUGUAGCGGUGAAGUGCGUAGAUAUAUGGAAGAACACCAGUGGCGAAAGCGGCUCUCUGGUCUGUAACUGACGCUGAGGUUCGAAUGCGUGGGUAGCAAACAGG
rnacentral:rRNA from 1 species